AGUGAACGCUGGCGGUAGGCCUAACACAUGCAAGUCGAACGGCAGCACAGUAAGAGCUUGCUCUUACGGGUGGCGAGUGGCGGACGGGUGAGGAAUACAUCGGAAUCUACUUUUUCGUGGGGGAUAACGUAGGGAAACUUACGCUAAUACCGCAUACGACCUACGGGUGAAAGCAGGGGAUCUUCGGACCUUGCGCGAUUGAAUGCGCCGAUGUCGGAUUAGCUAGUUGGCGGGGUAAAGGCCCACCAAGGCGACGAUCCGUAGCUGGUCUGAGAGGAUGAUCAGCCACACUGGAACUGAGACACGGUCCAGACUCCGACGGGGGGCAGCAGUGGGGAGUAGUGGACAAUGGGAGCAAGCCUGAUCCAACCAUACCGCGUCAUUGAAGAAGGCCUUCGGGUUGGAAAGCCCUUUUGUUGGGAAAGAAUAGCAGCAGGUUAGUACCCCUCUGUUCUGGCGGUACCCAAAGAAUAGACACCGGCUAACUUCGUG
rnacentral:rRNA from 1 species